AGCGAACGCUGGCGGCAGGCUUAACACAUGCAAGUCGAGCGGGCAUCCUUGUGGUGUCAGCGGCAGACGGGUGAGUAACGCGUGGGAACGUGCCCUUCGGUUCGGAAUAACUCAGGGAAACUUGAGCUAAUACCGGAUACGUGCGAGAGCAGAAAGGUUUAUCUGCCGAAGGAUCGGCCCGCGUCUGAUUAGCUAGUUGGUGAGGUUACGGCUCACCAAGGCGACGAUCAGUAGCUGGUCUGAGAGGAUGAUCAGCCACACUGGGACUGAGACACGGCCCAGACUCCUACGGGAGGAAGCAGUGGGGAAUAUUGGACAAUGGGGGCAACCCUGAUCCAGCCAUGCCGCGUGAGUGAUGACGGCCUUAGGGUUGUAAAGCUCUUUUCUCCGGGACGAUAAUGACGGUACCGGAGGAAUAAGCCCCGGCUAACUUCGUG
rnacentral:rRNA from 1 species